rnacentral:rRNA from 1 species
GAUGAACGCUGGCGGCGUGCCUAAUACAUGCGAGUCGAGCGAACAGACGAGGAGCUUGCUCCUCUGACGUUAGCGGCGGACGGGUGAGUAACACGUGGAUAACCUACCUAUAAGACUGGGAUAACUUCGGGAAACCGGAGCUAAUACCGGAUAAUAUAUUGAACCGCAUGGUUCAAUAGUGAAAGACGGUUUUGCUGUCACUUAUAGAUGGAUCCGCGCCGCAUUAGCUAGUUGGUAAGGUAACGGCUUACCAAGGCGACGAUGCGUAGCCGACCUGAGAGGGUGAUCGGCCACACUGGAACUGAGACACGGUCCAGACUCCUACGGGAGGCAGCAGUAGGGAAUCUUCCGCAAUGGGCGAAAGCCUGACGGAGCAACGCCGCGUGAGUGAUGAAGGUCUUCGGAUCGUAAAACUCUGUUAUUAGGGAAGAACAAAUGUGUAAGUAACUAUGCACGUCUUGACGGCACCUAAUCAGAAAGCCACGGCUAACUACGUG